rnacentral:pre_miRNA from 1 species
UCCUGUUCCCUGAGACCCUAACUCGUGAGCUCUGCUUUCAAAAUCACGGGUCAGGAGCUUGGGACCCGGG